rnacentral:rRNA from 1 species
GGAGGCAGCACUGGGGAAUAUUGCACAAUGGGCGAAAGCCUGAUGCAGCAACGCCGCGUGAGUGAUGAAGGCAUUCGGGUGGUAAUGCUCUAUCCUAUGGGAAGAUAAUGACGCUACCAUAGGAGGCAGCCCCGGCUAACUACGCGCCAGCAGCCGCGGUAAUACGUAGGGGGCAAGCGUUAUCAGGAAUUACUGGGCGUAAAGGGUGCGUAGGCGGUUUAUCAAGUCAGGGGUGAAAGGCUACGGCUCAACCGUAGUAAGCCUCUGAAACUGG